rfam:Ovis aries breed Texel chromosome 2, whole genome shotgun sequence.
UCCCCGGUGGCUCAGAGGUUAAAGCUCCUGCCCGGAAUGCAGGAGACCUGGGUUCGAUCCCUGGGUUGGGAA